GUCACAACAAGAAGUGUUUCAGUAUUCUCUAAACCACAUUAGAAAUGCAAUUUCAGGCCCACAGACAGGUAAAAAUAAGCUCCACAGCUCGGCUGCAGACACUAAAUAUUCAGUGGACAGCUGACACGGCACACCACCGAACAAAUGUAUCUUCUCCCGCUGAGCUUUUGCGUGAACUCUGCACUUUAUCCUCAGACAUGAAGGCUAACAUGGCUGAAACACACAGUUUGACAGCAGCGCAGGGCAGGAAGGUAAGUGACCACAACGAUGAAGCAGAGAGGGGACACAGAGACGAAGCAGGCUGACAAACUACUUCAUUACUUCCCGUUUCUGAUUUCGAUCUAUUUCUCAGGUGGCUGUUUAGACACAACCUAAGCUUUCUUGGCUUUGAAAACUAUCAACCUGUUCUAGUACAGGUAGUUUUAAAAUGGCAGAAGUAAGUAAAGCGACUCUUCCGCUUAGAGCCACCAAAAUAAAGGCCCAAUGUUUGCUUGUUUUUUAAAAAUAAAAAUAAACACACGCGCACAAAGAAAGAAAAAUAAAACUAAUACAAUCAACUUAAGUCUUAUAUCGAAAUUAUAUUAUGGUUAUCCCAUAUUCCAACUUUACUUUUCCAAUAUCAGUUCUUGAGCAAGUUAAUAAUUGGUUUAACAAUACGCGUAGAAGGGUUGAUGGUCGUGAGAGAAGAAUCAAACUAUUAUUCAGCUCCGGUCUGUAAAAAUACUCACUUCAUUCUUUUCUGGUAAAUUAUAAACUGCGCUGGCUUAUAACAUGAAAAAUAAAUUCAUCCGCUGCCUUUCAAGUCUGUGAAUUUCACCUAAAUCAACUGAACAUGUAAAUUGCUCGU